UAGAAAACCAAACUUGACUGCGCAUUUC
rnacentral:sRNA from 1 species